GAUGAAGAACGUAGCGAAAUGCGAUAAGUAGUGUGAAUUGCAGUAUUCAGUGAAUCAUCGAAUCUUUGAACGCACAUUGCGCCCCUUGGUAUUCCAUGGGGCAUGCCUGUUCGAGCGUCAUUUGUACCUUCAAGCUCUGCUUGGUGUUGGGUGUUUGUCCUUGCUCUAGUGGCGGGACUCGCCUUAAAGUAAUUGGCAGCCAGUGUUUUGGUUUUGAAGCGCAGCACAAGUCGCGAUUCAAGUCUAUACGCUAGUUUCCACAAGUCUUUUAUCACUUUUGACCUCGGAUCAGGUAGGGAUACCCGCUGAACUUAAGCAUAUCAAUAAGCGGAGGA
rnacentral:misc_RNA from 1 species